UGUCAGAGGGACAGGAGGGAGAACACAGCAACACACAGAGCAGGUGAACAGGGAAACUACAUACUUCAUGGUUUUCUCUUUGAAGGGUUAAAAUGCAUCAUGAGUUUGCCUUCUGAAAUGAGUCUGUCUUUGGAGAGAGAGGAGGGGACCACUGACCCAAAAAUUGGACUAACUGGGGAGUAUGAGCUAGAUGUUAAAGCAGCGGGAGUCCAUCAGGAGAGACCAGACUCCCCUGAACUCAGCUGUCUGUCUAUGAAGAGUGACAUGUCUAUGGAUCAUCCAAACAAAUUCAC